rnacentral:rRNA from 1 species
UACGGAGGGUGCGAGCGUUGUCCGGAAUUAUUGGGCGUAAAGAGCUCGUAGGCGGUUUGUUGCGUCGGCCGUGAAAACCUGCAGCUUAACUGUGGGCCUGCGGCCGAUACGGGCAGACUUGAGUUCGGUAGGGGAGACUGGAAUUCCUGGUGUAGCGGUGAAAUGCGCAGAUAUCAGGAGGAACACCGGUGGCGAAGGCGGGUCUCUGGGCCGAUACUGACGCUGAGGAGCGAAAGCGUGGGGAGCGAACAGG